CCUAAUAACCAAACCACCCAGAACACACUCAUCUGAUCUCAGAAACUAAGCAGGGUUCAGCAGCGUUAGUACUUGGAUGGGAGACUACCCAGGAAUACUGAGUGCUGUAGAC
rnacentral:rRNA from 1 species